rnacentral:lncRNA from 1 species
CGAGGUAGGUUGGGAUUGGGGCUGCUGUGACCCUGAGCUGGGACCUGAAGUGGAAACUCUUACUCUUCACUUAGAUUGCCUCCCUCUGCUCGAUGAUGGCAGGGGAGGGGGUUCACCCCCAUUUGGGGGUAUCACCCCAGUGUCUUUCUUGCAAGUUCAGAAGAGUUACUCCACCAGUCUACCUCCUGCUUGUACUCUCUGACUCUCCUUAAUCUCUCCACCUCCUCCUUGAGCUUCACCACCAUAGUGAGCAGAUCAUCCGCCUGCUCACACCUCAUGCAGGUGGAAUCCCUGCCGCUCUUCACCGGCAGCCGCAGGCACAGGCACUCACUACAGCCAGAAUACAAUCUCAUGUAACACAGGGUCACAAACUAGCUAUUUCACUCAGGAGGAUUGGACUAUGGAUACAUGCUGUAACCAAAACCACCUGCAAUGAAAGGAAGAACAUUCUUGUAAUCUCAGAAGAUGGAUUCUGUUCUGCAGUUUGUGUCCGUGUGUUGGAAUUAUAUGUUACAUACUGCUUUUCCAUUGUGCCUGAUGCUGUAGUAACCACCAUCAAGCUGCGUAUAGCAAGCUGAGGUUUUGACACUUCACGGAGACAGAUAGCAGAACAUAAAAAAAGAGGCUACUGAGAGGUAAGAAAAAAAUAUUUUGCUAACCUACUGAGUUAAAAUAUUUUAAGUGUUAUAAUGACCAAGAGCGUGUAUGCAUAAAAAUACCUAAUAGCAAUAUUAGAUAAAUACUUCUUUCUCUUUUUUUUC